UGCACAGGGGAGCUAGUAAACUGGCUGAGAGUAAAAGUGUGACUUUUAGACCCUUAACCUGAACUGGAUAAUACCAGCGUAGGAAGUGUGU
rnacentral:ncRNA from 1 species